rnacentral:sRNA from 1 species
UCCGGGCAUGGUGGUUCAUGCCUGUAAUUCCAGCCCUUUGGAAGGCCGAGACGGGAGGAUCACUUUAGGUCAGGAAUUCAAGACCAGCCUGGCCAACACAGUGAAACCCUGUCUGUACCAAAAAUACAAAAAUUAUCUGGGUGUGGGUGUGAACGCCUGUAGUUCCAGCUACUUGGGAGGCUGAAGCAGGAGAAUCACUUAAAUCUUGGAGGUAGAGGUUGCAGUGAGCUGAGAUAGUGCCAGUGCAAUCCAGCCUGGGCAACAGAGUGAGACUCUGUCUCA